GUUUUUAUCUUUCCAUAACCACGAGGAGAGCGCGUUGUUGUGUUGCAAAGCUUUACGAAUUAUUAAAAAAUCUACUGUGGAUGCACAACGUGACACCAUCAACGUCAACAACACUCAUGGACCCAUGGACACAUGUUGAGGUAGUCAUGUCAAAUGCCUAAUGGCCAAAUGUAGUAUGAGGGGUGGUGGCCAACUUUCAAAGCCUUUCAAAGCUACAGCUUUGUACUAUGUAAUUUAAGAUGCUCUGAAGAGGUGGAGUCCAACUGCCACAGACUCCGAAAUUGAUGCAUCAAUGGCGGAACACCUAAAACAUGUUCCAGGAAGAGCUGGGGGCCAUGGUUAUAAGAAAUAAGCUGUUCUGAGAGACAUUUACAUGUGUGUUUACAUUAAUCCAGUAUUUUUGUUUUGUACUUGUUUGAUUUAUAGCUGU